rnacentral:rRNA from 1 species
GAGAGAGACAUGCGCGCAUAUCAAUAAGCGGAGGAAAAGAAACUAACAAGGAUUCCCCUAGUAACGGCGAGUGAAGCGGGAAGAGCUCAAAUUUGAAAUCUUAAAGGGUUUCCCUUUACGAAUUGUAGUUUAAAGAAGUGUUUUCUGUUGAGGUUUUGGUAAAGGUUCUUUGGAAUAGGACAUCAUAGAGGGUGAGAAUCCCGUAUUCGACCUUUACUUUCAACUUUGUGAUACACUUUCAAAGAGUCGGAUUGUUUGGGAAUGCAGUCCAAAAUGGGUGGUAAAUUUCAUCUAAAGCUAAAUAUUGGCGAGAGACCGAUAGCGAACAAGUACCGUGAGGGAAAGAUGAAAAGAACUUUGAAAAGAGAGUUAAACAGUACGUGAAAUUGUCAAAAGGGAAGCGUUUGACACCAGUGUUGUUUUCCUGAAAAUCAAUUAAAGAACUGUUUAUGCUAAGUUGUUUAGACUUUAUCAGCUAACUGUUUAGUUUUGAGCUUUUCUUUGAAUGCACUUUUCAGUUAACAAGUCAACAUCAAUUUCUUUUGCUGUAAAAAAGCUUGAGGAAGGUGGCUUGAGAUUCGUCUUAAGUGUUUAUAGCCUCUUGCCUAUGCAGUCGGAGAGAUUGAGGUCUGCAGCGUAGAUCCUUCGGGGCUAAAUGCAUUUGUGCUAAGUUAUAGCAUUUUAUAGACAACUUGUUGACUAUGAUUUGUCUUGUAGCUUACUCGCUUAUGUUAUUUUACCUACGCUUAGGAUGUUGACGCAUGAGAUAUACGC